CUGAGCAGAGGGUUGGACAGACACUGACACGCAAUCAAAAAAACAACAGCAAGGAGCUGAGAGGAUCAAUCCGGCUCCUCACACCGCUCUGGGAAAUGACAAGAUCGCCCAAUGGAACCAGAGAAUAGCUCAGAGGGACUUUACAAAGACACAGGUUCAACUUCCUUGUAAGCCAUAAAAAUGUGGGCGAUUCUAAAAGGCCUCCAUCCUUGGAAGAUGAAAGACAGCAAACACCAGCAACUGGAAGUAAUCGAAAGGUGGAUUAAUUACCACUUGGAAAAG